CUUCGGGAGGAAGCCCCACCUCUCCACAGCAGGCAAACUGAUAGGCGCCAUGUUGCAGCCCGAGGGAGAACCCGUCCUGGCGGAAGGCAUGCGUGUGCAAAGGAGAGUGAGGGAAGAAGCUGGUUUCGAGCCUCAACAUCUUCCUCUGUGAGGGCGAAUGCCAUGAGGAACAUCCAUGAAUAUUGCAGUAGGGUCAUUUGGUCAUCCAGAUGUAAGUUCCUGAAUCCUGAAUUAAGAGGAAUAAAAGGUAUGAGGAAACACUCUCGUUGCCAAAGAGAAGAUCCUCUCUCUGGGAACUGCCAAAGACAGUUUUGGAAGACUAAUAGAAGAAAUGAAGUGUUAAGUGGACACAGUUUUCCUUUGCCAUUUGACAGGUUCAUUCCAGCUUGAAGACAUUUUCUAUAGCGGCAUGCUGGGCAGUUUUUUCUUCGAAUUUUAUCAAUGAUACAAUCAUUUCUUCCAGCACAAAGAUAAUUGUGCUGUCCUGUAUGGAAAAUAAAGGCACUGUUAAAAUUU